UACAGAGGGGGCAAGCGUUUGUUCGGAAUUACUGGGCGUAAAGGGCGCGUAGGCGCCUGUUAAGUCGAACGUGAAAUCCCCGGGCUCAACCCGGGAACUGCGUCCGAUACUGGCAGGCUUGAAUCCGGGAGAGGGAUGCGGAAUUCCAGGUGUAGCGGUGAAAUGCGUAGAUAUCGCUUGGAACGCCAAAGGUGAAAACAGGUUGCUGGGGUUGUGCCGACGCUGAGACACGAAAGCCAGGGGGAGCAAAACGGG
rnacentral:rRNA from 1 species